rnacentral:rRNA from 1 species
UACGUAGGGUGCAAGCGUUAUCCGGAAUUAUUGGGCGUAAAGAGCUCGUAGGCGGUUUGUCGCGUCUGCUGUGAAAACCCGAGGCUCAACCUCGGGCCUGCAGUGGGUACGGGCAGACUAGAGUGCGGUAGGGGAGAUUGGAAUUCCUGGUGUAGCGGUGGAAUGCGCAGAUAUCAGGAGGAACACCGGUGGCGAAGGCGGGUCUCUGGGCCAAUACUGACGCUGAGGAGCGAAAGCGUGGGGAGCAAACAGG